rnacentral:rRNA from 1 species
GAUCGGGGACACCACUGGAAACGGUGGCUAAUACCGGAUGUGCCGAAAGGUGAAAGAUUUAUUGCCUAGAGAUGAGCUCGCGUCUGAUUAGCUAGUUGGUGUGGUAAGAGCGCACCAAGGCGACGAUCAGUAGCUGGUCUGAGAGGAUGAUCAGCCACACUGGGACUGAGACACGGCCCAGACUCCUACGGGAGGCAGCAGUGGGGAAUUUUCCGCAAUGGGCGAAAGCCUGACGGAGCAAUACCGCGUGAGGGAGGAAGGCUCUUGGGUUGUAAACCUCUUUUCUCAGGGAAUAAGAAAGUGAAGGUACCUGAGGAAUAAGCAUCGGCUAACUCCGUGCCAGCAGCCGCGGUAAUACGGAGGAUGCAAGCGUUAUCCGGAAUGAUUGGGCGUAAAGCGUCCGCAGGUGGCACUGUAAGUCUGCUGUUAAAGAGCAAGGCUCAACCUUGUAAAGGCAGUGGAAACUACAGAGCUAGAGUACGUUCGGGGCAGAGGGAAUUCCUGGUGUAGCGGUGAAAUGCGUAGAGAUCAGGAAGAACACCGGUGGCGAAAGC